rnacentral:rRNA from 1 species
AGAGUUUGAUCCUGGCUCAGAAUCAACGCUGGCGGCGUGCCUAACACAUGCAAGUCGAACGAGAAAGGGGAGCAAUCCCUGAGUAAAGUGGCGUACGGGUGAGUAACACGUGGAUCAUCUACCCCUUAGUUCGGAAUAACGCUGGGAAACCGGCGCUAAUACCGGAUAAGCUCGAGAGAGGAAAGCAGCAAUGCGCUGAG